GGGGUGCUAUACAUGCAAGUCGAGCGGACAGAAGGGAGCUUGCUCCCGGAUGUUAGCGGCGGACGGGUGAGUAACACGUGGGUAACCUGCCUGUAAGACUGGGAUAACUCCGGGAAACCGGAGCUAAUACCGGAUAGUUCCUUGAACCGCAUGGUUCAAGGAUGAAAGACGGUUUCGGCUGUCACUUACAGAUGGACCCGCGGCGCAUUAGCUAGUUGGUGAGGUAACGGCUCACCAAGGCGACGAUGCGUAGCCGACCUGAGAGGGUGAUCGGCCACACUGGGACUGAGACACGGCCCAGACUCCUACGGGAGGCAGCAGUAGGGAAUCUUCCGCAAUGGACGAAAGUCUGACGGAGCAACGCCGCGUGAGUGAUGAAGGUUUUCGGAUCGUAAAGCUCUGUUGUUAGGGAAGAACAAGUGCAAGAGUAACUGCUUGCACCUUGACGGUACCUAACCAGAAAGCCACGGCUAACUACGUGCCAGCAGCCGCGGUAAUACGUAGGUGGCAAGCGUUGUCCGGAAUUAUUGGGCGUAAAGGGCUCGCAGGCGGUUUCUUAAGUCUGAUGUGAAAGCCCCCGGCUCAACCGGGGAGGGUCAUUGGAAACUGGGAAACUUGAGUGCAGAAGAGGAGAGUGGAAUUCCACGUGUAGCGGUGAAAUGCGUAGAGAUGUGGAGGAACACCAGUGGCGAAGGCGACUCUCUGGUCUGUAACUGACGCUGAGGAGCGAAAGCG
rnacentral:rRNA from 1 species